AUGAUUAGGAGUUGGUAGUACUUGGCAUCAUACCAAGACUUCAUAGGAGUACCAUUAACACUAGGACUGACUGUGGCAGACAUUUCAUAUUCUUAUUUCUAGUGAUCCAUCCAGGUAAUUAAGGCUAGUAUCUAAGUUAUGUAUAGUAACUCAUACCCUGUCUGGGUAUCUAUUUAUUGUCAGUUACUCAGAUACUUUUAGGGGCUGCGGUAUUCCUCUAGCCAUAUUGGGGAACAUUAAAAAUAAAAUAAAUUAAAUAGUAUUAGUGAAGGAAAGCUUAUAUAAAAAAUAAAGUUGAA
rnacentral:misc_RNA from 1 species